rnacentral:rRNA from 1 species
CCUACGGGAGGCAGCAGUGAGGAAUAUUGGUCAAUGGACGAGAGUCUGAACCAGCCAAGUAGCGUGAAGGAUGACUGCCCUAUGGGUUGUAAACUUCUUUUAUAUGGGAAUAAAAUGUUCCACGUGUGGGAUUUUGUAUGUACCAUAUGAAUAAGGAUCGGCUAACUCCGUGCCAGCAGCCGCGGUAAUACGGAGGAUCCGAGCGUUAUCCGGAUUUAUUGGGUUUAAAGGGAGCGUAGGUGGAUUGUUAAGUCAGUUGUGAAAGUUGGAGGCUCAACCGUAAAAUUGCAGUUGAAACUGGCAGUCUUGAGUACAGUAGAGGUGGGCGGAAUUCGUGGUGUAGCGGUGAAAUGCUUAGAUAUCACGAAGAACUCCGAUUGCGAAGGCAGUUCACUGGACUGCAACUGACACUGAGGCUCGAAAGUGUGGGUAUCAAACAGGAUUAGAUACCCCGGUAGUC